GACGAACGCUGGCGGCGUGCUUAACACAUGCAAGUCGAACGGAAAGGCCCUGCUUUUGUGGGGUGCUCGAGUGGCGAACGGGUGAGUAACACGUGAGUAACCUGCCCUUGACUUUGGGAUAACUUCAGGAAACUGGGGCUAAUACCGGAUAGGAGCUCCUGCUGCAUGGUGGGGGUUGGAAAGUUUCGGCGGUUGGGGAUGGACUCGCGGCUUAUCAGCUUGUUGGUGGGGUAGUGGCUUACCAAGGCUUUGACGGGUAGCCGGCCUGAGAGGGUGACCGGCCACAUUGGGACUGAGAUACGGCGCAGACGCCUACGGGAGGCAGCAGUGGGGAAUAUUGCACAAUGGGCGGAAGCGUGAUGCAGAAACGCCGCGUGCGGGAUGACGGCCUUCGGGUUGUAAACCGCUUUCGCCUGUGACGAAGCGUGAGUGACGGUAAUGGGUAAAGAAGCACCGGCUAACUACGUG
rnacentral:rRNA from 1 species